rnacentral:rRNA from 1 species
UACGAAGGGUGCAAGCGUUGUUCGGAAUUACUGGGCGUAAAGCACGCGUAGGCGGCUUGAUAAGUUGGAAGUGAAAUCCCGGGGCUCAACCUCGGAAUUGCUUUCAAAACUAUUAAGCUAGAGUAUGGCAGGGGACAGUGGAAUUCCUAGUGUAGAGGUGAAAUUCGUAGAUAUUAGGAGGAACACCAGUGGCGAAAGCGACUGUCUGGACCAUUACUGACGCUGAGGCGUGAAAGCGUGGGGAGCAAACAGG